rnacentral:misc_RNA from 1 species
GAUGAAGAACGUAGCGAAAUGCGAUAAGUAAUGUGAAUUGCAGAAUUCAGUGAAUCAUCGAAUCUUUGAACGCACCUUGCGCUCCUUGGUAUUCCGAGGAGCAUGCCUGUUUGAGUGUCAUUAAUAUAUCAACCUUCUCUUUGUUGAGUUGUUUGGAUGUGGGGGUUUGCUGGCCUCUUAAAUGAUUCAGCUCCCCUGAAAUGCAUUAGCAGAACAACCUGUUCAUUAGCGUGAUAAUUAUCUAUGCUAUUGAAUGUGAGGGCAGUUCAGCUUUCUAACCGUCCUUGGACAAUUCAUCAUUAAUGUGACCUCAAAUCAGGUAGGACUACCCGCUGAACUUAAGCAUAUCAAUAAGCGGAGGA